CCCACUUUACUGGGAAAUGUCUGCAAAUAGCCAGUAGCAAUAUGGAAGUAUUUACCAAGGAGGCAGAGGCAUCUGUGAACAAGGAAGUGGAGGAGGAAAGCAAGGAGGGGAACAGUAAAGUGUAAAACAUGAUGCAGUCUGGUGCUGUUGGUGACUCAACAGGAAGUGAUGGUGCGGGAGUAAGUAAGUGCAGUUCCUGAGCUACCCAGCAAUCAAAGGCAGCACAAACAUCAUUCUUCAGCCCACCCUCCUCUUCCUCCCGGUGGCUGUUGGCUCUUUGAUAACUGAGCUGUCUCCUCACAGGAUGAGGUCAAAGGCCGUGGUGCGAAGCCCACUCAGACAUUUGAGGAGCCCGAUUCCUUCCCGACGCCUCCAACUUGUCAGACCCAACCGCAAAUCCAUUAAAUUAAGAAAGAUUAAA